GUAAAUAUAGGGCGUCUGGAGAAGUUCGUGCGUUUGCGCGCAAACACAAAUCUCAGUAGAGCCAUGGUGGUUGUCACAAGCGCAAGGAGAGGAGAACAGUAAAGAGAGACAGCAGCAGUGAUCAGAGUAUACCAGCUAUAGAAUAGAAGUGGUGUGUCAUUAAUAGGUCAUCACAGUCUGUAUUCCAAUCAAUACAUUUACUUUAACAUAGCGCCUCGGUAUGUUCAGAGCGGUGUUUGGAAAUAGACGCGAUGGAAAAGGAAAAAAAGGAGAGAAAAAGGCCAAAGUUGAUUCAGCUCGGAGCGGGAAACAGCGGAAGCUGACUAAGGGCAUGUCCAUAUCACUGCCCUCCUCCCCCCUCCUCCCCCGCCAGGACUACCUUCUGCCCUCUCCCACCCCCGCAUGGGGCCACUCACCAGGUGUGAGGAGGAGGAGGAGGCAGGCGGCGCUGGAUGGAUGUCCUUAUGAAGAGCCGGUCUCCGCGUCGUGUCGACCGACGGAGCACUACAGAGAGGUCCUGACCGCCCCCCAGCGUGGCUCCGUCCUGCCGCCCCAGGAGCUGAUGACCAGACUAUGCUUGCUGCUGGGAGACCCCGCCCACCCAGCGACCAUGGAGGAUCUCAGGGAGAGCAUGUGCCAGGAAGCCAGUCCCAGCUCCACCCUGACCUGUAGCUCCGCCUCCCCGCGAUCGGACAGCCCCACCUCCUCCUCCUCCAACAACAUGAUACCCACUACCGGGGCGCCCCCCUCACCGGGUCCCCAUUCUGGCCCUCCGGCACCCAGCGCCCCCUUUGGGCCCAGGAGUGUCUCGG
ensembl:lncRNA